AUACUUAAAAGGUUUUUAAAAAGAGCUAGAAUGAAGCCAGAGGUCCGAGCUGAAGUUGUUUCUGCAUGGUGCACAAGAAUUUGAUAGCGUUUCACAAUUUAUUGAAGAAAUUUGAGCAAAGCAGAUUUAUGGAUUUAUGUGUUAGUGAAUCAGUUCAAACUGAUGUACCUAACUGAAGAACAUUCAAGUCGUGUUUUUCAGAAUUUAGAUUUUUGCAAUUCAAUAAUGUACACCUUGCAAGCAAAAGUUCAAGUGAUGGAUGUAAAUGAGAAUUAUUUU